rnacentral:rRNA from 1 species
ACGGCCACACCACAUUGAAAACACCAGUUCUCGUCCGAUCACCGAAGUUAAGCAAUGUUGGGCCCGGUCAGUACUUGGGAGGGUGACCACUUGGGAACACUGGGUGCUGUAGGUU